rnacentral:rRNA from 1 species
GACGAACGCUGGCGGCGUGCUUAACACAUGCAAGUCGAACGGAAAGGCCCUGCUUGCAGGGUACUCGAGUGGCGAACGGGUGAGUAACACGUGGGUGAUCUGCCCUGCACUUCGGGAUAAGCCUGGGAAACUGGGUCUAAUACCGGAUAGGAGCCAUUUUUAGUGUGAUGGUUGGAAAGUUUUUUCGGUGUAGGAUGAGCUCGCGGCCUAUCAGCUUGUUGGUGGGGUAAUGGCCUACCAAGGCGGCGACGGGUAGCCGGCCUGAGAGGGUGGACGGCCACAUUGGGACUGGGAUACGGCCCAGGCUCCUACGGGAGGCAGCAGUGGGGAAUAUUGCACAAUGGGCGCAAGCCUGAUGCAGCGACGCCGCGUGGGGGAUGACGGCCUUCGGGUUGUAAACUCCUUUCGCUAGGGACGAAGCUUUUUGUGACGGUACCUAGAGAAGAAGCACCGGCUAACUACGUG